CUUUCUCAGUUUAAAACUGCCCCCCACCAAUCUUAUCACUAUUCUCCUGUUUAUGUGCUCCCUUCGAGUCCUGGGGAGCCCUCAGCACUUUGAGGUCCUUCUGAUGCAUCAUUUUGCUCUCUCUGCUGCUGUUACCUCACUCCAGCCCUCAGCUAGAAGAAAUAAUGUGAUUUCCUAAAACGUGGGAAUUAGCAAGUCAAGCCCAGAGAAUUAAAACUGCCCGGAGGCUCAGCUGCCCUGAAAGAAUCCAGUAAAACUCCAUCUCAAGCUAGCAAGAAGCGGAACACGGCAUCUAUUUUUGUUAUGACAUCCUUGAGGUCAGCCCAGCAACAGGGAGGGGAAGAAAUUAAAAGACCCAAACAUUUGCAAGACUGCUCGAUGUUUUAAGGACCUGUAAGGAGGCUGAGGAAUAAGACGUCUGACACAGAGAACUGUGGCUGAAACCUUCCUAAGACUGCUGCCAUUGUGCAAACCAAGUGCACACCAGUAGGAGAGCAGUGCCACAACCGAGCAAUGGCACAAAGCAUCACAGGAGGGGGAGAGAUGGCACCCAGCACAGUCCAGCUCCAUUAAGUC
rnacentral:lncRNA from 1 species